GUGUCAGCAGCCGCGGUAAGACGAACCGUGCAAACGUUGUUCGGAAUCACUGGGCUUAAAGGGCGCGUAGGCGGGUCAUCAAGUCCGGGGUGAAAUCUUUCGGCUUAACCGGAAAAGUUCCUUGGAUACUGGUGACCUGGAGGGAGGUAGGGGCAUGCGGAACUUCCGGUGGAGCGGUUAAAUGCGUAGAUAUCGGAAGGAACGCCGGUGGCGAAAGCGGCGCGCUGGACCUCACCUGACGCUGAGGCGCGAAAGCCAGGGGAGCAAACGGGAUUAGAUACCCCAGUAGUCC
rnacentral:rRNA from 1 species